UAGUAAAAAAUUAUUUAGUUGAUUAAAUUUAUAGGGUAAAUAAAAAAAGUAAUUUUUAUUUUAUUAAUGUGUAUGAAUAAAUUGUAUAUAUAUAUAUAUAUAUAUAUAUUAAUUAUAGAAAAAUAGUAUUGUGAAAGAAAUUUUAUUUUAGUUAUAAAGAAGAGUUAAAAUUUUGUACCUUGUGUAUCAGGGUUAAUUAAAUAAAUAAUAUAGAUUUAUUUUUCUCGAAUUUAAAAGAGCUAUAUAUAUAUGUAAGUUUAUUGUAGCAUAAAUAUAAUAAAUAUAUAUAUAGAAGUGAAAUGCUAUUCGAUUUUAAAUAUAUCUAGUUUUUUAAGAAAAAAUUUUAAUUUUAUUUUUAUUUAGUAUAAAUUUAAAUUUUUAAUUUUAUAUUAGUAGAAUUUUAUAUUUUAUGGGAUGAGCUUUGAUUUAUAAAGAUAUAAUUAAAUAGUUAAAAUUAUUAAGUAGGAUUAUAAGUUUCUUUUUUUAUAAGUGUUUUUUAACAAAAUAGAUUUAUUUUAAAAUUUAUAUUUAAUUUAUAUAUUUUAUUAAAAUAUAAUUUAUAUUUUUUUCAGAUUAGAAGUAAUGAUUAAAUUAGUAUAAAAUUUUGUUUAUUUUAUUUUUAUUUUAGGUUAAAUAAAGUAACUCGGCAAAUAUAUUUUUCACCUGUUUAUUAAAAACAUGGCCUAUUGAUUAUAAUUUUAGGUCUGACCUGCCCAAUGAUUAAAAUUGAAUGGCCGCGGUAAUUUGACUGUGCAAAGGUAGCAUAAUCAUUAGUUUUUUAAUUGAAAGCUUGUAUGAAAGGUUUGAUGAAAAAAUAACUGUCUCUAUUUAAAUUUAUUAGAAUUUUAUUUUUAAGUAAAAAAGCUUAAAUAAUUAUAGAAGACGAGAAGACCCUAUAGAGUUUUAUAUUAAUUUAUUUAUAAAGAGUUAGGAAUUUUAAAUUAAUAUAUAGAUUAAUAUUUGAUUGGGGUGAUAAAAAAAUUAAAUAAACUUUUUUUGUAUAAAAACAUUAAUUUAUGAAAGUUUGAUCCUUAUUUUAAGAUUAAAAGAUAAAAUUACCUUAGGGAUAACAGCGUAAUUUUUUUUUAAAGUUCAAAUUAAAAAAAAAGAUUGCGACCUCGAUGUUGGAUUAAAGGGGAAUAUUGGUGUAGAAGCUAAUAGAUUAGGUCUGUUCGACCUUUAAAACUUUACAUGAUCUGAGUUUAAACCGGUGUGAGCCAGGUUGGUUUCUAUCUCUAUGUAGAUAAUAUAUUUUAGUACGAAAGGACCAAAUAUUAAUUUAAUUUAAAUUUGAAAUUUAUAUAUAUAUAUAUAUAUAUAUANANGAAAAUUAUUAAAAUUAAG
rnacentral:rRNA from 1 species